rnacentral:rRNA from 1 species
UACGGAGGGUGCAAGCGUUAUCCGGAUUCACUGGGCGUAAAGGGUGCGUAGGCGGUCGGAUAAGUCUGAUGUGAAAUCUUCGAGCUCAACUCGGAAACUGCAUCGGAAACUAUUCGGCUAGAGGAUUGGAGGGGAGACUGGAAUUCUCGGUGUAGCGGUGAAAUGCGCAGAUAUCAGGAGGAACACCGGUGGCGAAGGCAGGUUACUGGGCAUUAUCUGACGCUGAGGCGCGAAAGCGUGGGUAGCAAACAGG